rnacentral:rRNA from 1 species
CCUACGGGUGGCAGCAGUGAGGAAUAUUGGUCAAUGGACGAAAGUCUGAACCAGCCAAGUAGCGUGAAGGAUGACUGCCCUAUGGGUUGUAGACUUCUUUUGUAUGGGGAUAAAAUGUUGCACGUGUGGGAUUUUGUAUGUACCAUAUGAAUAAGGAUCGGCUAACUCCGUGCCAGCAGCCGCGGUAAUACGGAGGGUCCGAGCGUUAUCCGGAUUGAUUGGGUUUAAAGGGUGCGUAGGUGGAUCGGUAAGUCAGUUGUGAAAGUUUGCGGCUCAACCGUACCAGUGCAGUUGAAACUGGCAGUCUUGAGGGCAGUAGAGGUAGGCGGAAUGCGUGGUGUAGCGGUGAAAUGCUUAGAUAUCACGAAGAACCCCGAUUGCGAAGGCAGUUGACUGGACUGCCACUGACACUGAGGCUCGAAAGUGUGGGUAUCAAACAGGAUUAGAUACCCGAGUAGUC